CGCUCUUCUUUACAGCGUCGUCCAUGAAAACAGCAAGGGAAAUCCGUCAGCGGUUCUGGAUGGACAUUAGGUGCAGCCGACCUGUUACCAAUGUCGCAAGCGAACUACCCCAGACCGACAGGACUGUCUUGCUGUAAGUGGACAGAACCCUGGUUAGAUAUAUCUAGGAAGGUGGUCUGAGAUCUAGUUGGGUGAUUUGGCGUCUGGGGUAUCUGAAGCUGGAUAGAUUUAUGACAUUUCAGUUGCAUUAUUCACUCCUUUAACAAAGUUUUUAACCCUGGCGAACUCCAUUAUUGAGGUACAAAGACCUUUAUGGUUAUAUGUAGGGAUCCGAUAUCAUGUACCCCUCCGUGAUAGUCCUGAGGGGAACAUGUAAUCAUACUGAGUCAAGUGCUUCAUAUUGGUUGUUUCCGAGCUGGGGUUAAAUUCUCUUGUGACUGGAUGGAUGGGUGCAGCUGAAGUAGAAUAAAUCUAUUUUUGCAACAGUACCUCUUGCGUCGGAAAGUCUGACUAGGGUAAAGGUCAUCUGGUCCAGAAUAUCUGACUGACGGACUAUCAGGGCCUGCCAGCCCCCGGAGGAGGAGGAGGCGCCGUCCAAGGCGCAGAGAUCGACGCCUUCAUCCCGAUCUCACCCGGAGGAAGCGCCAUCCAUGGCGCAGAGAUCGUUGCCCCUCCCGAUCUCUUUCCAUAUGCCCCCGGUCCAAAGAAGGACACGGGGGACGUGCCUGGAGGUGGCACUGAGACACUGCCAUGUUUCGUUCUGGUUUGACUUUCUUCACACUGAGCCACAGUGUGGAGGCAGUCAAAAGGGCCGUGCUAAGUGCCCAAGGGUGUGACAUAGUGGCAGGUCUAUGUCGCCGUAGAGCGGGGAAAUUCCGUUAGGCAAGUACGAUGCUGGGUUCCACGACUUUAAUGGACUCAUCGGAAGCAUCAGUGCCUUUUCCUGAAGGAGAUUGUCCAACGUCUCGGACAGUCACCUGGUCAGGGUCUUCGAAUGCGUGGAGUCUUAACUCUAGAUGGAUGACUUAGCAAUGGAAAUAUUUGGAACUCAGUUGGUUUAGUCAUUUCUCAACUUGGAACUGUCCCUUCUUUGACAAUGCAUUUAAUUCCAAAUACAGACAUGAAUCUGACACGAGUAUGGCCUUACAGCAUCAUGAUUGGGACGUCAGGCCUGUGCGGUCGGGCUUGAUGGACCAAUGGACCGCCAUGUGUGUUGUUCUGCUCUGUAAAUCUUGUGAAGGAUGAUUGUUUGUGUCUGGACUUCCAUACAUUGUGAAAGAAUUGACAAAACUAGUUGGGACAUGACUAAAUCCUCUUGAGGCUUCAUCUAUCUUCUUUGCUGGGAAGUCUGUCUAUUGUCGAGAUGACACAAGUUUGAAGAAUCCUGACCUCAGGACGGAGAGAAUGCCCCAUAAAAAAACCAAGGAAAAAAAUCUACAUCCAUGAAUAACAACCACCUCAGAAGGAACGACAACCCCCAUCAGGACCAGAAGGAACGACAACCCCCAUCAGGACCAGAAGGAACGACAACCCCCAUCAGGACCAGGAGGAACGACAACCCCCAUCAGGACCAGAAGGAACGACAACCCCCACCAGGACCAGGAGGAACGACAACUCCCAUCAGGACCAGGAGGAACGACGACCCACACCAGGACCAGGAGGAACGACAACCCCCACCAGGACCAGGAGGAACGACAACCCACGCCAGGACCACAAAGAACAACAAUCCCAACAGGACCAUGAAAAACAACAAGAAAAAGAUAGUUACUGACAUCAUCUCAAUUACCUAUCUUCUGAUAGAUGCCAUGGCCCCAGUGACAGUUUUGUCAAAAACAAUUUCAGACUGAAAAUGUGGAUGUUGCUCUUUUGAAAGACAAAAUCUGGGAUCAUCCAGAAGGACGACCCUGGACCAUAAAGAACCACCACCCCAUUGGGACCACAUCAUUAAAAUCAGAAAACAAAAUUCAGAUGUAUCCUCCUUGUUUAUGAAAAUGAAUAAACAAAAAUCUACAUUCUGAAAUAUCCUGCAAACUACAGACAAC